rnacentral:rRNA from 1 species
GACGAACGCUGGCGGCGUGCUUAACACAUGCAAGUCGAACGGAAAGGCCCUGCUUUUGUGGGGUGCUCGAGUGGCGAACGGGUGAGUAACACGUGAGUAACCUGCCCUUGACUUUGGGAUAACUUCAGGAAACUGGGGCUAAUACCGGAUAGGAGCUCCUGCUGCAUGGUGGGGGUUGGAAAGUUUCGGCGGUUGGGGAUGGACUCGCGGCUUAUCAGCUUGUUGGUGGGGUAGUGGCUUACCAAGGCUUUGACGGGUAGCCGGCCUGAGAGGGUGACCGGCCACAUUGGGACUGAGAUACGGCCCAGACUCCUACGGGAGGCAGCAGUGGGAAAUAUUGCACAGUGGGCGGAAGCCUGAUGCAGCAACGCCGCGUGCGGGAUGACGGCCUUCGGGUUGUAAACCGCUUUCGCCUGUGACGAAGCGUGAGUGACGGUAAUGGGUAAAGAAGCACCGGCUAACUACGUG